UGGGGUCCCCACAACAUGAGGAGCUGUGUGAAAGGGUCGCGGCAUCAGGAAGGUUGAGAACCGCUGCAGGGUAACAGCAGCGUCCCCUCACAGGGGGUUGGGAGGACUGAGAAGAGAUCAUGCACAGCGCUCUUUACAUGUCACAGAACAGAAAGCUGUAUGCUGGUUUACGGUCCUGCAGACACACCAGGGCAACGGAGGGGCCGAGGAAAGCCCGUGCACUCUGUUCUCUACUCGGGGGAGGAGGUCAGCAAAAGUCUCUACUGUGAUGGGGCUAAAGCUGCUCCUCGGAGAGCCAUGCUCUGGCCACUGCUGCCACUCUCCUCCCACAGCUCACGGUGCUACAGCUGCACUGCCACACCCAGGCCUUCUAGAAAGAUCCACAGAGCAGGCUGCAGGGCCAGCGCCAGACACUUUCUGUGGGGAAUAAACGAAAGAAGGGAACUAGCAGCCUGGAGCUCUGGGGCUGUGGGUGGGGAACUGCUCUUGCAAGAUACCGUUGUCCCCUCCCCAGAAGUGGAUCCUGUCACACAGAACCCUUCUUCUGAGUCUUAGGGGAGGUGCAUUUAGAAGAUGGAUGCUUUUCUCAGGAAGAUAAGAGGAAAAUGUUUCCCUUAUUCUUCUACCUAGUGCUGCCCGGUGUCUGUGUGGGAGAGGCCAGGGCUGCCUCUUCCUGGCAGCAUUUUGGGGGAAGACCAGGGUUACAGCCACUUCUAGCCCCCCUCCUUCUUUUUCUGUUUCAUGUGAUUUAUUUUGCUGGAGGGUACAUUUGAUUUUUUCUUCUUUCCAGAUUCAGCUUUUAGAAUGACUAUUUUCACACAUCAGUGUUUGUGUUCAUGGUUAAAGGUUAUUUUUAAGGGUGGAAUUUCUAACACUGUACAUUUCGAUCAUAUUUAGGAAUCCUUAACUUUUAUCCCCUGGGGUAGAACAAGAAACAACGUCAAGAAUUAUUUCUGGACUCUUCCCAGCCCAACAGGCCCUAGCGUGUGUCAGUGUUUCAGCCAGUGAGGCAGUGAACUGUUGACUCCUGACAUGGGUAAGUAAAAUGGAAUCUCUUUAACUUUUUUGUUAUUAAAAGACGAAACUUCCAGGUCAUUGUGAACGAUAUAUUCUUGAGGUCAGGUAUUCCUCGGCCGACAAAAGGUAACUUCUUACUUUCUAUAUCAUCUCCCAGUGCUUCUGUGUAGUGGUUAGUCCCCCUCACCCUCUACUUCCUACGCAGCACUCAGAGGAUUAUACUGCCCUCCAUCCCUCCCACCCCAGACCUGUUUUCCAUAGCACUUUGUAUAUAUCUUUGUUGUAGAUAUCACACAUACAAUGAUCACAUUGCACUGUGAUUGGCUUACAUAUCUAGCUCACUGGACUAUAAAUUAUUUGGGAUUAAGGAUGUUUCUCCUUUAGCCACUUCUAAUUGCUGUUGAUCUCUCUUCCGCAUAAUGGAGCUGUGAGCUGAGUCAUCCCUGGGUUUUUUCCUGCCGCCGGAUCUGGCUGCUCUGCAGAGGAGGAGCUGAACGUUUUGUGGUCAUUGUUCCAGAGAUCAGCUCUGGAAGGUGGGCGGCAGGAGGGGGCUGGGAACGCCGAAUUCCUAGUCUUCAGAAAACAAGCAAGUUGUUUCUUUGGGACACCCAUUGCCUUUUGAGACAUGCAUUUCUAGAACAGUCUCUGGUAAAGCAGGAUCAGAAAAAAACCCCACAAGGAUGAGAUUAAAAGCAAACAAGAGGCCUGGAGGGGAUCCAGGUGUAGCUGCAGCCUCACCCCUCUGGCCUCUGGACCCCAGACCCAAAUACGAAGGGCCUCAGAAGCUUCUCUCUGGAGUAAGCCUGACUGAAGAGGGAAGGAUCGGGCAUUUUCUGGAGGUUUCUGGCCUUGGGGUGAGUCUGGGGGAUGAGGUAGGGCCUUGCUGACAGGAGGCCCUGGAGCCCUCAUUCUAAAAUCUUGCUACUUUAGCCCUUUUCAGGGCCCUACCGCCUUGAAGCCAAAACCAGGAUCUGAAGUCCCCCAUGUUCUCCUCCCAUCGCUUUGUUUACCGCAUUUUAUAGAAUCAGCAUCAUCACUUCCGUCAUCUAACCUCCUCGUUCUACACCUAAGAAAAUUGCUGAGAAGGCUCCAAUGAAGACCAGGUUUUCAGGCUGAGGAGGACAUGAAGUACCAGCGGGGAGAGCAGCGGCCAUCAACCCGACACUGAAGUUAACAGGGACACGGGUGCAGGCAAGGGGGAAAAGCCUUGAGAAAUGCAGUUUUAUGCUAAAGAUCUUCUUAGAUCAGAGUUGAGGGAAGGCACAUAUUAAUCUCAUCAAAGAACAUGGUGAUUUUACCAUCUUGUUUAAAUCACUAUAUAAAGGAGAGGAGGGUGGGAAUCAGAAUAUUUCAGAGACUUUUGUGAAGCAAAAGCUAGGAGAGAUGAAGGCAAUCAGUGUUUGAGCCCGAACAGUAAAAACAGGAGUUAGUGUCCAUAAUCAUCUCUCAGAUGUUUUCAUUUACCAACCAGAAAAAUUAGAAUUUUCUCUCUGGCCCUGGCAAGCCAUCUCUUAGCGCAGUGCUGAGCUGCAUUCAAAUCCUCUGUUCCUUUUCCCAAACCCCAGGAGAAUUAAUCAAAUAAUAUACAGCAUUUUCACAAUAUAAGAAAAACGCUAUAGUCUGUAAAGGGGAGGGGACUAGUGUAGGGACAGUCUGACAAUUAUUUGAAGCUCUUUCGGGCUCCUGACAUUCACCUCCUGGCUCCAGGGUGGGACCAGACCGCCGAUCCCGAGGGGCCCGCGCCCUCCCGGGCUGACAGCGGCGCCAUGAAGUCCAAGUUCUGGGAUUCGAGAAUAGGUUCCGGUACUAAGUAGCUGUGUCUGGUUUUAGGGAAAUCACGAACUCCCCGGGCUGCCGCAUCCCCAUUGGUAAAAUGGGGUGACCGUUUUCCUCCUUCCGGCCCCAGCGCAGACAUCCGCCCGCAUCUCAGUGGCACCCCCUGAAGGGAAGGGGAGAAGCUGAGGAAGGAACUACUUUUGCUUCCCUCACAAAGGCUGCGGAGGGUUAUUGAAUGCCAACAGCGUGAGUUGUCCUUCGCCCAUAAAUACGCCUCUCCCGGCUCUGCAGCAGGCAUUCAGGCAGCGAGCGCAGAGAUGACUGCUGAGACCGAGGCACUACUUGAGGAAACCAGAUAAGUUUUUCUAUUAAAAAGAGAUAGAAAAUAAUAUUCUUUAGGAAAUGUAAAUAGCGAAGGGAGGUACUUACUGAGAUACUGCUUAGCAUUAAUAUUUUAACUUUUGUAACAAAGAUCUUAUUUAAGGGAAAAUAUGAUGAAGACUUACUUAAAAAGUAGUUUCAGAAAGGAAGAGAGAAGAAAAGUACUUCCAGAACAUGACGGAGAUUAAGAGAUGAAACUUCUUUACGAAGUAAAAUAAUUUUCAAAGAAAUGGCUGAUAGGACUGCAAAGUCUGAACUCAAAAACGCCUUAACUAAAUUGAAGGGCAAACUUUAAAAAUGCCAUUAAACCGUAGGUGACAUAAAUAGAACGUAAUUGUCAUUUAAAGAAAGUUGGAGGUGGUUAAACUAUAUAUUAAAUGCCGUAUUUAAAAGAGAAAAAUUGAUUUAAGAGAGGCCUUCAAAUUCAUGGCGCAGUAAAGAUUGUGUCAUUUGAAGCCCAGUUGCUCUUACGGCAUUAUUAGCUUAAGAUGGGCAAUUGUUAAUUUAGAAAUCAUAGGAUAAAAUUUUGGAGAAAGAUUAGAAAUUUGAAGUGGAACACUUGGAAGACAGAAGUGUACAGGAAGGUGAAGAAAAAGACUUAGAGAAGACAGGAAAAUAGAAGAUACAACAUGCAUUUUAGAAAGCCGAAGAGAAAAUAUUUAGGUAAAUUAACCAAAGCAACUAAGGGCACAGAUACAAAUGUAGUAGAAAACCAGAAGAUAGAAAACGAGAAGAUACAGAUUUAAUAGAAAAGUAGAAAAUAGAAAAUGAAGAUACAAAUUUAGUA